GUCGGGGAAGAAAAUGACUGUACCCGAAUAAGAAGGUCCGGCUAACUUCGUGCCAGCAGCCGCGGUAAUACGAAGGGACCUAGCGUAGUUCGGAAUUACUGGGCUUAAAGAGUUCGUAGGUGGUUAAAAAAGUUGGUUGUGAAAUCCCGGAGCUUAACUCCGGAACUGCAAUCAAAACUUUUUAGCUAGAGUAUGAUAGAGGAAAGCAGAAUUUCUAGUGUAGAGGUGAAAUUCGUAGAUAUUAGAAAGAAUACCAAUUGCGAAGGCAGCUUUCUGGAUCAUUACUGACGCUGAGGAACGAAAGCAUGGGUAGCGAAGAGGAUUAGAUACCCUCGUAGUCCAUGCCGUAAACGAUGUGUGUUAGACGUUGGAAAUUUAUUUUCAGUGUCGCAGCGAAAGCAGUAAACACACCGCCUGGGGAGUACGACCGCAAGGUUAAAACUCAAAUGAAUUGACGGGGACCCGCACAAGUAGUGGAGCAUGUGGUUUAAUUCGAAGAUACGCGCAGAACCUUACCAACACUUGACAUGUUCGUCGCGACUCUAAGAGAUUAGAGUUUUCGGUUCGGCCGGACGAAACACAGGUGCUGCAUGGCUGUCGUCAGCUCGUGUCGUGAGAUGUUGGGUUAAGUCCCGCAACGAGCGCAACCCUCACUUUUAGUUACCAUCAUUUAGUUGGGUACUCUGAAAGAACUGCCAGUGAUAAGCUGGAGGAAGGUGGGGAUGACGUCAAGUCCUCAUGGCCCUUACGUGUUGGGCUACACACGUGCUACAAUGGCAUUUACAAUAGGAAGCAAGAUGGUGACGUCAAGCAAAUCCUAAAAAGAUGCCUCAGUUCGGAUUGUACUCUGCAACUCGAGUACAUGAAGCUGGAAUUACUAGUAAUCGCGGAUCAGCGCGC
rnacentral:rRNA from 1 species